rnacentral:rRNA from 1 species
UACGAAGGGGGCUAGCGUUGCUCGGAAUCACUGGGCGUAAAGGGUGCGUAGGCGGGUCUUUAAGUCAGGGGUGAAAUCCUGGAGCUCAACUCCAGAACUGCCUUUGAUACUGAGGAUCUUGAGUUCGGGAGAGGUGAGUGGAACUGCGAGUGUAGAGGUGAAAUUCGUAGAUAUUCGCAAGAACACCAGUGGCGAAGGCGGCGCUCUGGCUCGCAACUGACGCUCAGACACGACAGCAUGGGGAGCGAACGGG